GACGAACGCUGGCGGCGUGCUUAACACAUGCAAGUCGAACGGAAAGGCCCUGCUUUUGUGGGGUGCUCGAGUGGCGAACGGGUGAGUAACACGUGAGUAACCUGCCCUUGACUUUGGGAUAACUUCAGGAAACUGGGGCUAAUACCGGAUAGGAGCUCCUGCUGCAUGGUGGGGGUUGGAAAGUUUCGGCGGUUGGGGAUGGACUCGCGGCUUAUCAGCUUGUUGGUGGGGUAGUGGCUUACCAAGGCUUUGACGGGUAGCCGGCCUGGGAGGGUGACCGGCCACAUUGGGACUGAGAUACGGCCCAGCCUCCUACGGGAGGCAGCAGUGGGGAAUAUUGCACAAUGGGCGGAAGCCUGAUGCAGCAACGCCGCGUGCGGGAUGACGGCCUUCGGGUUGUAAACCGCUUUCGCCUGUGGCGAAGCGUGAGUGACGGUAAUGGGUAAAGAAGCACCGGCUAACUACGUG
rnacentral:rRNA from 1 species